CAGAGCCCACCGCUGCCGAAUCAGGCUCCUCGUGAUCUGCGCGAUCUGAACCCCUCUCUCCAAUCCAUGGACACCGAGAGAUAUCUCUCGCUCCCCUCGUGCGAUUCCCGUGCAAAUCCCUCGAGGUAGAACUCAAUUACGAGCGAACGGAGCACCCCAUCUUCGCUGCCCGAGCUCCCUUUUCUGGUCGAUGUCGUCGUUAAUCCUCUGAUGCGAGCCCCAGCCAAACUGAUCUCGCCGGAGUUCCGCUCCUGAAGCUUCUGCUCGCCAUGACCGCUUGAGGAAGUGCACGCCUCCACCGAGCACUCCACUGUCUCUGCCGCAUCAAGCCUAACCUUCCGUCUUUGCCGCCCGGAGGAGCGCAGGAGAAGUCACCAGGAUCGAUCCCGAAGCCGCUGCCGUCUUCCUCUGUUUCUGAUUGUUCGGAGCGUGACGAGUAGAAUCAUCAGGAAUUGUGAGUGUGAAGAACUUCAUCAAACGUACCAGGCAAGUUACACCUUGAUCAUCCUUCAUCCUACUUUUUUCAUGCAUGUAGUUAUAUAUCACAAUCCCAUAUUAUGCAUGUGUAGGAAGAUCAUGGUAGUAUGUUAUUGCUACCGAGUUUCAGCUUAGUAUGGCCUUAUUUGUAGACCGUGGUAGUGUAUUCUUGCUAUGCUAUGUAGACGGGGAUUGGUUCAUGUGUUCAUUGAGCUUAU